UUGGAUUUUAUAUAAUAUAAUUAGGGCUAGUAAUUUUGGCUAGGUCGUACAAUUGGUGUAGCAUCUAUAGUUCAAAAAUUGAAAAUAUUUGGGUUAUUAGGUGUGCUAAGUAUAUACAAAAUUUUGUGAUUAUUUAACAAUGUGGUUUAGAGAUAUUUGAUUUUGAGCACAAGAGGAUUUCGGAAGUUGGCAGUUUGGGAUUGAGUAGUGUUUCUAUGAUAUUUGGAGAUCUACUAGUUAGAUUAAAGUGAAAUUUGGCUUGGUAUU
rnacentral:lncRNA from 1 species